UACGAAGGGUGCAAGCGUUACUCGGAAUUACUGGGCGUAAAGCGUGCGUAGGCGGUUUGUUAAGUCCGUUGUGAAAGCCCUGGGCUCAACCUGGGAAUUGCAGUGGAUACUGGCGAGCUAGAGUGCGGUAGAGGAUGGUGGAAUUCCCGGUGUAGCGGUGAAAUGCGUAGAGAUCGGGAGGAACACCCGUGGCGAAGGCGGCCACCUGGACCAGCACUGACACUGAGGCACGAAAGCGUGGGGAGCAAACAGG
rnacentral:rRNA from 1 species